GAGAAAGAGUACAGAUCAAGUUAAAGGUAUAGAACACAAGUUGACAAGGAAGCGAUCAUAGCGCAGGUUCAGGAGGCAGUACAUGGAGUGACCAUUGAGCAGGUUCAGAAAGCUCUGUAUCGCAAUGACUGGAAUCCCGUAUGGGCGCAACAGCAGCUUAAGACAGACCAGCUGUAUUACAUGACUCAGUGCUCUCGUGAGGAAUGUCACAAAAUCCUUGCCCGCUACAACUGGGACCUCCAGCUGGCAGGACGUUACAUCAUCCGACAAGACAGAGAUAGAGACAGAGACAGAACUGCACUGGAUAGAAGAGGAGAAAGAAUUUAAAGCAAGACAAUGUUAACUCGUAAGAUGGUUCAUAAUUAUUGAGGAUUUCAUGUUUUUGUGAUAUCGAUGAAUUGUCAAGAGGUCAAAAUAUUUUCUCACUCUGAAGUUUCCAUCUACCUCCAAUGUGAAACUAUCUAUAGUGACUCUGUAUUAUGUGCUUAAUACAUUCGUGAUAUCAGUUAUUUGUUUGGAAAGACAGCAUAAUCAUUCUUAUUAAAUGCAGAAUGACAUUCCAGUUGCCAUUGUGACUAUUGUUAGUUUGCAGUUUUUGUAUAUAAAUUAGGUUUGUUAAAAUUGUAAAUGUGUUAAAUUCAGUAAAACUGUAAAUUUAUAUGAUGAAUUUGUAAACACAAAGUGUUAUUAAUAUUUGUAUCUGUUUAAUAAAGUAAAUCAUGCAUUUUUA